rnacentral:lncRNA from 1 species
AGGAGCGGACCAAGGAGCUGAAGCACCUCAAGGCCGCGGCGAUGAGGGGCAUCAAGGCGGCCGGCGAGUCGUGCAAGAAGGCGUGGAGCAAAGUCAGGAGCAGCAUCAGGCGCUAGGGCGUCGAGUUCGCGAGGCCAUCCCCAUGGAUGAACUCUAGUGUGGUUUUUCUGAGUUUUGAAUGUGGUUUUGGUCUUGUUGGAUCUAUUUAUUUGAGCGACUUGAUGUGAAAAUAGUCUGUGGCUCUGUGCGUAACUGCGUAUGGCUCGUAUUUAUCUUUUGUUCGCCCCUUGUGCGUGAUUUUCUUCAUGCUCUUCUUGCGGUGGCGAACUUUGCAGAUAGCGAUAGAUCUAUUACCGCCGAUGGAUUCUCCGUUCAUCUCGCACUGAGAAGUAUGCGUAUGCGGAGAAUUUCAACGUCUUCAAACAAGCCAUAGCCACCGUAGGUGUCGAUGAUCCGCAACACCUGAUCAUCGUGGAACCUUCCUUCUCCCACCAUCACUAUCGAGGCUCCGAAAUCACGAUGUGCAUCUAUCUCAGAGAAAUCAAAGCAGUUAGCACCAGUUAUUAGUCGUUAGCCUGCUUUUGACUGGCAGCGCUGAAACAAACCGGAAGAUCUGCCACGAAUGAUCGCAUACAAACUUAGGGAGAGCUGAGAGCAGGAAGGACUAUAAAUGCUUCGAACCCAGGUUUCAAGCUGCAAAGGGCUUAAGCCUGCUGUAUCACCGCGAGAACUCGUGGACUGUUAGACGUAAAGGUAUUUCUCCCACUUUUACAGAGCCCGUUGGUGAAAAAUACUCCUCCAACACAAAGCCUCUCCAGCCGCAACAAGGGACAAUCAAUCGAGUUAGCUUAUUUUAGAAAGCUUUUCAAGGUGCUACGGGAAAGCUCUCUUUUGGCCACUGAGUAGGAGCAGGUAUUCAAACAACUUUACAGAAAACGAAUCGUUUGCCUGACGAUUCAAAGAAAGAAAUUGGCAGUCCGGACGGAUCCUAAUUCAUGCUGACAUCUGGUGCCGUUUACGCAGGCUGCUCGUGCGGAACGACAAGGCUCAAGCGUACCGGACAGCCAGGUCCAAGAAUAACGCAAAAGAAGAGAGCACACAGCAUGUGAAGAACGACGAGGGUAGCUUGCAAGAGCAUGUGAGACAACCUAUAACAAACAUUUAAAAUCCAGCACGCAGGGUAGAGCAUGUGAAAACUGAGAGUAGCUGGAAUUCAAAAUUCUGCUGAUACAAUUAGCUACAUAAAAAACUUGGUAACAAACAGCAGUUCAAUAUGCUAGGCAUGCUCUUCCUACAGGUCCAUGAGGAAUAACUGCAGGGAAUUAGGCUCUGCACAGGGCCGACUACUGCAAAGGAGCAUCAGGAUCCAAUCUUUUUUGGAUUGCAGCUGCAGCCUGAUAACGAAAAAGAUUUGCUAAGCUAUAGGAGUAUCUGUUAACCCAUUAGAUCAGGCUUGCAAGUUGAGAAAGAAAGAACAUACCUGAAAAUUGCCCAGCCUGUACUGAUAGUUCAUUUCCUCGCGUAGACGGGCCUGCUCCUUCAUGUCUUGAGCCUAAGAGCGAGUAAAACACAAGAUAAUCACAGGUUAAUUCGCUUUCAGUUACUAUGUCCUAGUACUACUGUAAUGUUUCCACAUCAAUAUCCUUAUCAGAAAAAUAAUCUAGAGAUAGAUAAAUACAUUAUUUACUAGAACAUGUAUUAGUAUUAUAACACAUGGAUUGAAUAAGAAGAGAAAAAUAAACUCAUGCCACCUUGGAAUCAAGUAUUAAACAAUAAGGUCCAAAACAGUACUUGACGCUAAAUUCAUUUCAGGUAAGGAAUGGACAUAACUAGGUGACUAGGAUACAAUGAAAGAUCUUAAAAGGUAGUACAUUUGUACACAAUGGACAGGGAUGCCUGUGCAAUCAAACUUGGUGGUUGGACACAAGUAUAGAUGUCAACUACAAAGUCUUCGUAUACUAAUUCAGAGAAAGCGCUGUUAUGUGCUGACAUUUUAUUUGAUCUAAUUCAGAGAAAGCGCUGUUAUGUGCUGACAUUUUAUUUGAUCGCUUCGGUCACAUAGUGCAUUCUCAGUCCAUUGCACAUUACUUAUAAAUAACUAUUCUCUUUGGGGGGCUUGGGCAUUACACAUGACACUACAGUAACUGUUUGUAGACCGUAUCGACUUAAUGCUGGAUCAUGGUUUUAAACUAAUAGCAAAACCUUCAUGAGCAUUGUAGUAUUUAAUUGAUGUUUCAAGGAUAAAUUCAUAAAUCGAGACAGACAAAAGAAACGCAAAAUUAAUCUAACCAGUCCAGCUUGCAUAGAGCGUUUUAAAGCUUCCACUUCUUCCUCCUUUCGUCGUUCACGUUCCUUCAACAAUUCUAACCUGCAUGAUUAAAAAAAGUUAAAAAAAGGAACUGCUCAACGCAUAAUAGACUCCAAAUCGAAUUAAAUACAAGUGUUUUUAAAUAUUCCCAUCAUAGAACAUGCAAAAAUGUUUGUGUAAAGAUAACAGCAAACAGAAUGAUAAUUGUUGCACCAUGUUUUUUUAAAAAUUACAUGGAUAAUAUUGUAGAAAAAACAACAAAACAAAUUCACGUUUGCACACCUUCGCUGUUCCUCAUCAUUAAAUAUUGUACGUUCUGUCACUGAGGUCUUUAAACCCUUCUUUGUCUCUUUCUCCAUUGCUUUGCGAUGAUAAGCAUCUAAAUUAUAAUAUCUGAAAGAUAACAGAAAUAGAUAAAUGUUAAAUCCCUAUUCUGAACUCGCCAUCUAAUUCAAAGUUAUACAUAGAAGACAAAAUCCAUUACUUUUUCGAUGGGAAAGUGGCUGUGUUGUGAUCCUCCAUGAACCUGAGAUGCAGACACCAUAUGUUAAACACCCUUGGAAAAUCAAGGAUACAGUAGGAAAUAUAGUACAUCAGAGGGUCAUGUAAUUAUUCAAGUGACCUCAAAACAGUAGAGUAACUUACGCCUUGAACAUUUGCUUCUCUUCCCAGUUUGACAAUGCUUCCAAAUUAACCUGUGGCCACAUUAAAAAGAAAACUAAAUUGAACAACUGGAUUACUUUGGUUUUAGAUUUUAACAUAGACCUCCAUCCAUGCCUCACUGUGUGUAUUAACAUGUACAAAACGAAAAAGAAAUAUACCUGCUUGACUUCUGAUAACCAUGCAGUGAACUCUGGUCGCUUGCUCCUACAAAACACUUUGCACAAUUAAUUUAUAGAAAUGUGGUAGAAAUAAUUUGGUAUUUCAUAUGUAAUUAUUUACAGCCUGCUCGGUACAGAGGCUACGGCUGCGCUGCAGCUGCAACAGCUGAUACAGCAACUGACUGCUGCUAUUUGAGCCUGCAGCCGCUCAAUAAGCUGCAGCGAGCAUAGAUACAACAUGGUGUUGAAAUGUUGGAUUAAGCAAGCAAAGUCCCACAUAACAUAUAGCACUGAAUAGUAGUAUAGAACUGUUUAUAAGUAAAUUGGAUAUGUGGAUGUAGAAACAUUUCUAAAAAUUUUCUACGCUUAGUGUCCCUAUGAACUUUGAAAGGUGAACUCGCAAAAUCUGCAUGAAAUCUAAGUAGAAUAGGAGCUUCAUAAACUCUAAAGAUACUAACGAGCAUUCCAGUAAUGUUGAAUUAUAUCUCAUCUUCACUUUUAGUAAAGGGAGACAACAUUUGUAUAUUUCACAUUGAAUUAUACAGUGACACACGAACAACAAAGUACAACUGAAAAUUUUGAUGCAAAUUCAUAGCUUAAUAUGCCAAACCCUGAGUUUCAAAUGAAGCACUCACCACAUGUCGACCUCACGGAUGAUACCAUACUUCCCCCACGAGUUGGUCACGGCGCCCUUCUUCCCCAAAUCCUUCUUCUCCUCCUUCCUCUUCUUCUUCUUCUCCUUCCUCCUCCUCUCCCUCUCCUUUUCCUUCUCCUUCCUCUUCCGCCUCUCCUUCUCCUUCCUCCUCCGCCUCCUCUCCUCCUCCUCCCUCUCCUUCCUCCUCUUCCGCCGCUGCCUCCGCCUCUCCUCCUCCGAAUCCAAGUCCGACUCGCUCUCUGACUCCGCGCUGGACCUCGAGUACGAUGACUCGGACUCCGACUCCGAAGACGAGCCGGAGCUCUCGCUGCGGCUCCGGCUCCGACGCCGGCGCCGCCUCUCCUUCUCCUUCCUUCGCCGCUCGCCUGAGUCCUCACCGGAGCUCUCACUCCCCUCCUCCUCCUCCUCCUCCCGACGCUUCGACUUGCCGCGGUGGCCCCGGUCCCGACUCCCCUUCGAGCGCUCGUCCCUGUCGGCUUCUACCGACUUGCUGCCGCUGCGGGCCUCCUCCUCCUCCUCGCCUCGACCAUCACGGGGCGAGCCGUUCUGGUCCUUCGCCAUGGCGUCGCGUGACUAGGGUUUCGCGCCUCGCGGAUGCGAGAAGGGAGGUGGCGAGGGCGAGACAGAUCGGCUCGCGAGAGAACCGCGAGCGGUGGCGGCCGGGGACUGGGCGGGCGGGGAGAGAGAGGACGAAGUGGCUUGGUGCCUUGGCCCUUGGUGGCGUACGCCUAUUUUCCCCGUGUUCACUGACAGGUAGGUCCGUCUUUAUCAAACAGUUUUGUGGCCCCACAAUUCGGUCUCUGAUACCUCUGACUUCUGUACACGUCUCCAACUUCGCGACCCGUCUCCCUCUCGCGCUCGCGCCCACCUCGCCGCCCGAUCCGACGCGCCGACGCCGCCCGCCGCCGAUCCAGUGCGACGCAGUCGGCGCUUCCUGCCGCCCGCUGCGCUUGCAUCGUGCGAGCGGCGCAUCUCGCAGGCUCACGAGCACCCGUGGAUCUGACCGGAGGAGGCCGCGGCUGCUGCUGCUGCUGCCUCGGCGAUGUCGAGGGUUCGGGACAGAACGGAGGAUUUCAAAGAGGCCGUCCGCGUCGCCGCGCUCUCCCAUGGCUACACGGAGGUAAGCUCCAGCCCAGCCUCACCAGCCCCUUCCCCUCAGCGUACGGACGAAAGCCGAAUGAUCCCCAAUUCGUCUCGCUCCGUUGUGUUGCUGUGCAGGCCCAGCUGGCCGCGCUCACGUCGUCUUUCAUCAUCCGGAAGCCGUCCCCCAAGUCGCCAUUCACUAAUGCCGCGAUCAAGACGGUAGGAGUCUGUGGUGAAUGUGUUCAUGUGUUGUGGUGUGGUGAGGCAGGUUUCGUCAGUGAUUGAUGAUGGGUUGUGUCGAAUUGCAGCUUGAGAGUAUCAGGGAACUGGAGAGGUUCAUAGUGAAGCACAGAAGAGACUAUGUGGACCUGCAUCGCACCACGGAGCAAGAGAGGGACAACAUCGAACAUGAAGUAAGUUUCACGCUGUCUGCGGUUGUUUGUUUUGAUUUGCCAUUGGUUCUCAUAUGAUGAUGCAGGUAAGAAACCUAAAAUGUCUCUGUUACUCGGCAACCUGUAUGCUUAAUGACCGCAAGUCAUUUCUUGUGUUCAUAAAAAACUUCAGCUAGUGGGUUGUUUGACAUUAUUACAAAAGAUACAUGUUGCUGUACGGUACAAUAGUUUGCCAAAUAUUAUUUUCAUAAUUGUGCAAAUCCAGUCUCGGACUAAGUUUAUUGAAGACCAUGGCCGUAAAAAUUGUUGAACAGCAUACAUAGAUAUGGCAGUGAUUCAUCCUCUUUGAUGCUCGCACAUUCAGGUUAGGUAGAUUGUUCAGCUUUCUCUUCAUUCUAUUAAACUAUGUUUGGACAUAGUGAUGGGCAUUCCUUGUAUAUGCACCAUCCUAUAUUCCUUUUGGUCCACAAUGUAUUGAUUCAUGUAAUAUUAGGCUGUUGCUUUCUGUUUUUCAAUUUAGUACCUAUGUCUAAUUACUAAAUGUACAUUAGGUUGGUGUUUUUGUAAAAGCAUGCAAGGAACAGAUUGAUAUCCUAAAGAACAGGAUCCAUGAAGAAGAGAAAAAUGGAGGUGCAAAGACAUGGCUUGGCACUAGGGAUGCGAGUUCCCGUUUGGACUUGAUAGCUCAUCAGCAUGGUGUGGUAUGGUUGUUUUCAUCACCAUUGGUGUUAUAUAAGCUUUGGAUGUUCUGCUGCAUUAAUUUGUUUUUUGAGGGUAUGAUAAAGAAAUAGGUAGCAGAAGAAUAUGUUUUUGGGCAGCAUUUGUGAUCUGAAUGUGUUCCAUUCAGAGAAUUAGACCAAGUAAUUCCUUAGGGAUUACUUGUGACGCUUUUGAUGAGCAAAGAUGUUCUUUCAUUAGAACCAGCUUGCUUAAUAGAUUAAAUCAUCCUGUUGAGGAUUGAUUGUUUCCACAUUUCCUUUCCAAAUAUUUAAGUUGGUUGUAUAUUCUAUGAGUUGGUGGCAGGAUAUCAAACCUCCAUCAUUAGAUAUCAUUUGAUAGAACAAAAAAUAUUAUGCUGCUUGAUUUGUAGAGGACAGCCAGUUGUAACAAGUGAAUUUGAAUAAUAUCUAGUUCAAGUUUCUUGUUCAGAGCUGCAUAAGUGCAUCAUUCAGGCAAACACAUUGGUGUGUUUUUCUUUAUUAUUUUUUUCUAUAUCCAAAUUGUAAGUAGCAGUCAAGCAUCAGUUUCUGAACUACCCUGUUUGGCAGUAGUUUAGGGAUUUUAUGUCCAUCUACACUCUACAGCAAACUGAUCGUGUUGUCUACAAUUUUACCAGGUUCUAAUUUUGAGUGAGCGUCUCCACUCGGUAACUGCACAGUUUGAUCGUCUUCGUUCCAUGCGUUUUCAAGACGCUAUUAAUAGAGCAAUGCCUAGGAAGAAAAUUCAGAAGAAACCAGAAAUCAAACCUGCUGAACCAUCCAAGUCUAAUCUUGUUCUAAAAUCUGAUGUAUCAAAGAUUGGGGAUCAGGAAGUAUCUACUGCACCCAUGAGGGUUCAAGAACAACUAUUGGAUGAUGAAACAAGAGCUCUCCAGGUAAUAUGGUAUACAAAUUAUGUACAAGUGAAAAACUUGUCUAUUUUACUUAAAACUACCAUGCAUUUACAUCCUAAAACUCUUCUCAGGUGGAGUUGACAAGCCUUCUUGAUGCUGUCCAAGAAACUGAGACAAAGAUGAUGGAAAUGUCAGCACUUAAUCAUCUUAUGUCAACGCAUGUUCUACAACAAGCUCAACAAAUUCAGUAUUUAUAUGACCAGGUAGAAGAUUUUAAUAAGCUUGUUCUACCAGUUUAUAUGCAGUACAUGCUGAACUUGUGCUUUCAUAUUUGUACAUAUAGAAUGUCAGAAUCUACCCAAAAAAUGGAUAAUUCACACAUGAAGCGAGUCCACGAAAGAGCUUCUUAACAGUGUCUAGAAUUAAAUCAUUUGUCUCCAUCCACUGGACUAUUAAGGAUCUGUGAAGUUUGUGCUCCCGUGUUUAGAGUACCAUCCCUAGGUACGUUGCUGUAAGACAUAUACUUGAUGACCGAUCAACUGUUAAGUGUGAUAUUUUGUGUGUGUCCACAGGUUCCGAUUUUUCCUUUAACUGGAAGAACCCAUAACUCAGAUAAGCACUAUAUGAAACCUGAUUGUUAUCUGUAUACCAUCAUAGAACAUCUUUGCAUUAUUUCAGGCUGUUGAAGCUACGAAUAAUGUGGAGCGCGGGAACAAGGAGCUAUCCCAGGCAAUCCAGCGCAACAGCAGCAGUAGAACCUUUCUCCUCCUCUUCUUCUUUGUUCUCACUUUCUCUGUUCUUUUUCUUGACUGGUACAACAACUGAAUUAGCACAUGAAGACAUUGUAAUUGUUUUGUUCAUGCGAAAUGAUCACAUUACCAAAAACCAUCUGCCUCUCUAAAGUCUAAACUGACCUUUUAGCCACUCUGGAUUACUUCCCAACCGUAUUGUUCACUGUGCUCUCUAUCUGAAUUUGCUGGGAUUUUUAGUUUCAUUUUAAGUGUGCAAAUGUACUAAAGAUGUGGGCACUGUACUGGGUCUGUGUAAAUUUGGUCGUGUACAUGAACGAGACGUAAAGAUGCCGUUUGGAGCUUUCAAUCACUUGUAGAUAGGCAAGUUCCGACGUCUGUCUGCAGAAUGUAUUAGCAUAACUUGGCCAUCCAUUUCUUACUAAUCAGACCAUUACCGGAAUCUCAACAGCGUGGGCGUGCAGCGUACCUUAAAAGUAAUCAAGCACUGUCUCCAUGGCUCUUCCUGUUAGCUUUGAAGCAAACUAUAAUUGCUUCGAUCACAGCCUCACACAGAACAAAGGUGCAUCUGAUUGUGAAAUUGCAAUGUCCUCAGAUGCAUGAUGCAUCACACACAACAAAAAAUGCAUCUGAUUGUGAAAUUGAAAUGUGCAUUUUAAUAUGUAUUUUAGAAUGGGGAGUAAAGUGGACACAGGACAGACAUUGGUAGCCAAACAUCAUUUUCGAUUUAUAUACAAAAUACAAAAUCAAAGAGCCCUUGGCAGUGACACCGACCAGUGAACAGCAUGAUGCUAACUAAUCAUGCCGAUAGGUAAGGUACGGAACUUAACAAGCCGAUGGUGACAGGCCGGCCAGGGAAGCAAGAAAAAGGCAACAGCUCCUGACAUCAAGAAGUAUGAACUAUGCAUUCCACCUCCAUGUCUGUCAUAUUACAACUCUAUACCAGCAUGCUUACGCACAUGCUUAUCGACACAGACCAUUACCCUCUUCACUAUACGCAUCAUCCAUUAGUAUCCCCCCUCCCACUUUCGAUAUCUACAGAUAGGUGCACAGAACACAGUUUUGUCUCAGAACAAGAGCAAGCACAGCACCACGAACACGAAGAGGAAGAACCAGAUCUGGUGCAGGGACCUCUCGAUCUCCAGGUGCCGCCUCUGCCUGGGGUUCACGUUCUGUGCAGCGACAUGGUAAGGGCUCGUGUAGUACAAGCUUGCAGGCAGCUGGCCACGGAGCACUAACGGGAGCACGGCCUCCGCCAUCCCUCCAAGCACCCCUCCAGCAGUUGAGUGGAUCAAGCCACGUCCUAGUGGUGCAGGAGGGUAGAUGAAGUCGAACCCAGCGGGAUUGGGACGGUAGUGUGCGUGCUGCAAUGGCUGAUGCAGAGGGUUGGCUUCCAUGCUCUGGUGGUGUUGCUGGUCAUCGACAGUGCUCUGUGCGUUCUGAUGCUCAACUGUCUCCCGGUGCACCAUGGGACGGCGCGGGAUGGCCACACCAUUCAGUGAUUUCUUCGAGCUCCCUCCACGGCCAUAUAGUGGCACUAGCGUGUCUGGGGAGAGUGUUGCCUUACAUACAGGACACUGCCGCCUUGCUGAACUGCUGUUGUCGCUGGCAGUCGACUCCACCCCUGGGCGCAGCCAUUCAUAGAUACAAGGCCAGCAGUAGAGGUGACCGCAGAGGGUAACCACAGGUUCUGCUGCAAAAUCAAGGCAAAUGUUGCAGUCGAAGCAUCCGCUUCCCAUUGUCGUAGGCAUGUCCCCGCUGGAUUUCUUCACUGCUUCAACAUCAGCCACCAAAGGCUGGCUAUUGAUAGCAGCCAUGCAAGGCUGAUCCAUUCUCCCAGCUUCCAUGACAAUCAAGAUACUUGCUCUUGAAAACUGAUUUGGUUCAGUUACUGACACUACUGCAGUAGACAAAAGAAAUCAACGGAGGUCAGUAAGAAUAAAUACGAUUGAUAAAGCAACACAUAAAAUGGGCCAUAGCUUUGCACAAAAUGAUGAGGGGUGUUAAAGCAUUGGAAACGUUCAUAAUGUGCAGAUACCUACCUAACCAUGCGGGAGGACUAUAAAAAUACAAGCCAUAAGAUUGGAAGCAACAAAGCAAACCACAUGUCAAUCUCUAGCUUUUAAGAUAUGUGCAAUUCUGCAGCAGACGCGGAACUAGGUGUACAGACAACAGACAUAACAGAGUAUUGCAUGUGACAACUGAAGCAAACAAUGUAAAUCUCCAAAACAUGUUAAGAAGCCAGAAACUUUGCCACUUAAGCUAGUUAUGCUUGCACUAAAGAAUCUAUCAUCUUUCCUUGCAGCAUGAGUCAGUAGUCAUGGAUUCUCCAAUAUGUAAGUACCGGGGACUACAUCUGCCGCGUUUUGUUUUUGUCCCCUUUGUUAUGGUUAUCCCUGUGCUACUUUUCUAUUCCAUUGACAUUUUUAUCCAUGAAGAUAUCUAUCAGAAGUUAGGAAAGUUAUGUCAGCAAGGGAACGAAACUGCUUGCUUUAUCUCCAAGGUGUGCAACGGCAAAAUAUUGACUCCAGGUCUUGGCCCCAUGUUCAAUGCAAGGGCCAUCACUGCCAGCUCAAAAUUGCCUUGGGAAGAAAAUAGAAAACAAUUUUUGUUUUAAAAAGGCACACCCUGCAGCUUGCAAACGUAGACUUGACAGGGCUGGGGUACUGAGCAGAUUGACGCUGAUCCUAACAAAUUAUAUAUUCAGAUAAGGGAUGGGGAAGACCAAAAGGGCAGAGUUGAAUAAACAAAGGAAUGUAUGAGAUAGGCUAAAGGCAUCCGUCCUAAUCUCCGAUAUAUGCUUGCGGUGACAAAUUGAUUUUUUUUUUGGUGGUUGUGGAGCUUCUUUGAAAGGCUAUGUUGUUGUUGUUGUUGUGGAGCUUCUUCCAAAGGAGAAUCAUUGAAAAACAACAAUAUGUGGGGGUAUUGAUGUGGACUGCAACAAUGAUGGAGUAGCUACAACACUUGGCAUAUUCUAUGGAACCAAACACACUGAAAAGAUGAUCGCUUAACAUAUCUAGUUAUCAACAAAAAUAAGAAUAACCCAGUGAUAAUUGCACCCACUGCAUCAGGAUCAGGAAACAAAGAAUGGCAUUCCCAACAGCUUCGUGGAAAUUUCUUAAUCACUCUGGCCCCAUAUGUACCACGAAUAUUAUUUUUGUACUAGUAAAGCUUCUGCAAGUCUUUUCUAAGUUAAAACACGCCUUAAUUACAUUAAGUACCUACAGAUGAGGCUCAAAGACAUCAUCUCCCUACAGUUUUAGUUUGGUUUCGUGGCUCAUGACUAGCCUAAUAGAUACACGCAGUAAGAGUCGAUAUUGAAGAUGAAGGGUGUGCCUGACCAGGACAAGCUGUGAAACUCCAGAAAUAAACAAGCUUCUAAGUUUGACCCGUAUGAGAUACCAUACUAUGGAUUUUAAGCGCAUUUCCGCGGUAGUUGAUCUAAUUUAGGCGUCCCAGCAAAUCAGGUGCUGUACACACUAAAGCUACAACAGAACCAAGAACAAAGAACCAUAUUGUUCCCCCUCUCCAAUCUAUCUAUAACACAGAACGAUCAACUCAUAAUGGAUACUAGGUCUCAAAAAACAAUUACAUGGGUACUGAACAUACGCACCUUCAAGAGCAAUUUCUCCAGGCUCAGGUAUCAAACACUAUCACCAAGCAAAGUCCCAAAUUGACGCUACUUUCCAACCCCAGGAACAAGGGGCGGACCAAACAUUUUUUGGAAAAUAAUCUAGGAUAGGCGGCACUCCACCAGCAGCAAACCAAUCCCUCCCCAACCACGAAUGCCUCUCUCACUUGUCGUAGGAGGAGGAGGGUGGACGGAUUGGAGAAUCCGUCCUAGAAAGGAAGGUUGGGAUUUGAUUUCUUGAAAUACAAGAAAGGGCGAGACCAGAGCAAAACAACUAACUCUCGGAGCAAUCCAACAAAUCAUUAUACCAGACAAAACAAAGAGCAAUCCGUGCAAGCAAGACAGACAGACAGGAUUCCUUACCAGCAGAGGAAGAAACCAACCCGAGCUCGGGUGGAUCUGCCCUCCACGGGAGUCCAGCACCACCAGCGAGGAUAAUGAUGUUGACGACGAGGACGACGGUGACGCAGGAAUUUGACGCGACGCGCCUCGGUGGAAGAGAGGCCUGGGGAGAUGGGUUCGGCGGCGCGAGGUCAGGCGAGGACGGGGUUGGUGCGGCGGUGGCGUGAGCCGUGAGCCCGCGGCAGCGCCUCGCGCGACGAACGCGGGAGCGGGGAGGAGGAUGCGGCGGCGGCCCGGCGGGCGGCGAGGUCAAUUUGGUUGUAAUGAGGAGGAGGAGGGAAGGUAGGAGGAGGAGCAGGCAGGGCCGAUGAUGAGAGGAGAAGACCACCCAGGUUCAGGAGGAGCAUUUCGGGGGAGGUUGCUCCCGUCGGGAGAUAUAUAACGACGAGUGGGGGAAUUCGGUGGGGAAUAGACGGUGAGGAUGGGCUUUUAAAACUGAUCGGUCGCCUCCGGGUGAUCCGUGCUCCGGAAAGCUAAUUAAGCACCCCCGUGCGUUGUUGAAAGCAUGCCUUAUUUUGAGACCACCAUAAAGCACGCUGCCCACCUCGCUCGAACACGUCAAGGUAUGUUGCGGGAGCUGCGUGGCAUCUGGUCACAAUUUGGCUACGAUGGCAAAUGAAAGUAUCGAAAUACCCCUAGCACUAGCAGGCUUAUAGCCGUGUGCAGUGUGCUACCGUGUGCUGCUUACAUCUCACACCGUCGACGUCACGACUUUUUUUUUUUGGCUCCAGUGCACAAAAUUGCUUUAGCCAUUAUGCUAUUACUGCGUGCAGCAUUCAUCUCGCUUUUUUGUUGAGCUUGAUCCGUAGGAUCAGUUCAUGAUCCCUUGUGUGCUAAUGCCAUAUCUUACAGAGCCAAACCCUGCGCAGGUCCUGAAAUUCGUGGCACACCAGCUUCAUCCGAAUCCGCCGUGGUAACAGACCCUGCCAAGCCAUCGUCCAUGGUCCACGUCCACAGAGGAAGCAGCACUGUACUAGAUUUCCUGAGGGAUCGGAUAUAGCCGCUCCGUCCGUACUCUUCGGAUGGAGAUAAGGCCUAUCCGUUCCCUUCCCCCACUUUGGCUAUAAUGUCUUCUCGGGUCGAGUCACCACCAUUGCCGCUUUUCGAGCGCUGGGCGACACGAAAGUUUAAAAGAUGCCCCAGCCCUCCCGGGAGCUAGUGUGCCCUUGUGCUAGAAGCGGGCCCCCCACCGCCUGACCUUCUGCAAUCACUGCCUGACGCCCGUCCAUUAUCCUGCGUCGAGAUCGUGUGUGUGAAAGAAAUAUUUAUACUUGUAGAUUUUGUUUGCCAUUAUCGGUACCAUAUAAUCAUGCACCGGUACAUGCAAUCAUCACACCACUUGCUGCGAACUUCUCGAUUAGUAUUUCUGCAGCGCCUUAUCGUUUUCAGCGAGAGUGCCAAUUGCCAAUUGCCACUCGAGUGCAAGCGGACAAGCAAUGUCGUCAGCACACAAAGCAAACAAGCCAACUCGCAGGGUAACACACAGACGCCCGCAAGAUUUGACACUGGCAAAUGUCAGGGGAAGCAAAAGUCGCAAGUGAGCUGUCACGGUCACUGGCGCGGAGCCUCCAGUCCUCACCAACCAACCUCCGGCUUCCAGCCUUCCACAAACCAAUGUGCCACACGGACUCGAGCCGCCAAGUGAAAACUAAGAAAGUAUGAACCGUGUCCAGUCCAGCCAUGUGGAUGGGCAGGAUGUCAGCUUCCGUGCUGGACCCGGGGUUCCUGCUUGGAUCAUUGGAUGCGCGGAGGCGGCAUUUCCUGCCCCAAUGGUCAAACGCGCGGCCUUCAGUUUAAUUAAUCUCCUGCUCCGCGGCUUCGCUUGUCUUUGAUUAAUCUCCUGUGCUCUCCACGUUUAUGGUCAGUUUGGUCAGGUUCACGGGGCUCCGGCUCUGUGAGAGGUAAGGAGAGGAAAGAGAUAAAACGGUUCGGCUGGACAAUUGCGCUACAGCACGACGGCUGCAAGAGGGAGGGAGAAAAAAUUGCUCGGGUGAAUAGCUACAGUACGACGGCUGCGAGAGGGAGGAAGAAAAAAUGGGAGUGACUAGUAAUACUACAGUACAUGAACAUGGAUCCGUCAGAAUGAGCGGGAGCCAGGCUCUUAGCCCCCUUUGGCACGGCUCUCCUACCGGCUCUUGUAGCAGCUUUUGCACAAGUUGUACCAAACGCCUCAAAUGAAAACGGAUUCAACCCGUGAGCCGCUGGCCAAAACAACUGGACGGGAUGAGCCGAAAAAAUGGCUACCCCAGCUUCUCCCCAUCCACGUACGUGAUUUUUCAUCCUUCUCCCCGACUGCUCUCCUCCCCGGCGCACGCGCGCCGCCGGCUGCCUCCCUGCGCCCCGUCGGCGGCCUCCUGCGCCGCGCCCCGCCACCUCGCCGCGCCCGCCAGGUGCAUGCGCUCACGCGGGGCCACGACGUGGGGGCAUGACCGCCGGGAGGGAGAGUCUGGGAGGGAGGAGAGAGGAGGGGUCGGUUGGGAUCGGAUAAGGAGAGAGGAGGGGCGGUCGGGAUAGGAUGAGGAGAGAGGAGGGGAAAAGAAAAGAGGGGGAAGGAAAGAGAAAUAAAAAAGGAAAGGAAAGAAAAAGGAAAUGAAGAGAAAAAAGAAAAAGAAAAGAGAGAGAAAAAAAAUAAGGGUAUUUUAGACAUUUGACAUCUUCUUUACAUUAUGAGAAGUUAUUUUGCUAAAUGUUUUCAUACAAAAUAAGUCAGAGCUAGAAAAAGCUGCUUUUCCAUAGGAGCCAGAGUCAAAGCUGAUUUUUCGCAAACCAAAGCCGUGCCACAAACGGGGCCUUAGUUUAAGCGCCGUACUAUAUGCCGUGUGCGUGGUCGACUCGUCGUCGUCCGUCGCGGGAGGAUAAGAUCCCGGCACCGAACGAAACAGUGCCCACGACCGGUUGGUGCGGCGGGUCUGAUCCGGUCGGGUGUCGUGGCGCGAUAAGAUAUGGGCGGGCGCUGCGCCCGCGCGCGCACGAGCAAUCAAUCAUUUGGGGUCUCGGGUUGGGUCCGGUAGUUGCGUAAUUGCGGGGCGCGCGCGUCACGCCCUGCCCUGCCCGGCUGCUGCCGCGUUCCGCCAGGCGGAGGCCACCUGCCAGGCGCCGGUGGCGGAGACCGGAGCCGAGUCAUCAACUCAUCUCAUCAUGUGGCCGAAAUCCCAUCCCCCUGAUCCUGGCGCCGACGCACGUUUAGCAGCAGCGGCGCGCGGGGCGUUCUUGUUUUUUAAUCACAACAAGUGACAGCUCCGUGCCUUCAUUCGAGGACUGUAGCAGGUCGGGUGGCGCUACCAGUCCGGUGGGCACAGCGAGGACGAUGGGGCCGAUGAUAAGGUCUGCCUUGAUGAAUCUAGGGGACUACAAUUCUAUACACUGCACACGCAUCGUUCAGGAUCGCCGGAUCCAAGCGCACAAAAGACGAAACCGCCCACCGUUUGCAGCAGCUGCCCGUGGAUUACAACGUUCGUGCAGCAGUUCACUCUGGCGCCGGAGUGCCGGACCACGGAAUGGAUCCACCCCGGCCGAUGGUUCGUUGGUUCUUCCCUGUGGUCCUUUUAGCUAGGAUCUCAGGACUUGACAUGCUCCCAAGAGAUUUAGCAGGAUUUAUAAAAGUUUGUCCGUAACUAACGAAGAAAUUCUGCUAUAAACUUUUGGAGGUGCAGCCGUGGACGGCAUCAUCCUGUCCCAGUCUGAGAUCUGAGUGCGACGCAAUUCAGAGUUUGGGCUCACGGAUGGUCAAUAAUAACUCAAAUGAAUCUCGGAGACAAGUCGUACAUCUCAAGCCCAUAACGCAUUAUGUGGGAAUUAUCACAAUGAAAGAUGUACAUAUAAAUAUAUUCUAAUAAGAUAGAAUGUGGUUAUUGGAACGUCCAUGUCACGCACUUCCGAGCCAACAAAGACCAGGCUAGGGUGGGACAGCAACCCAUGCCACUUUCCUCAAACAAUAAUCGAAUGUGAUUCGAAUAUCUACAAGCAGGUAUAUAUAGGACUGUUCCGUGUAUGGGUCCACUGAUCUGACCACAGUUUUUUUGAAAGGAAACUGUGCUCAAGAGAUCACUGGGGCAUUUCACCUCUCAACGAAUUUCUCAAUGCAGGUGGUCAGCGUGCUCUCGGGCACAGCCCCGAUAACCGAAUCCUUCUUCUCGCCGUUCUUGAAUAUCAUCAUGGUGGGGAUGCUCCGGACCCCGUACUGGCUUGCUAUGUCUGGGCUCUCGUCUGUGUUGAGCUUGUAGCAUCUCAGCUUCCCCUCGUAGUCCUUUGAGAGCUUGCCGACAACUGGAUCUAUCAUUUUGCACGGCCCGCACCACGGAGCCCAGAACUCAACAAGGACAGGAAGCUCACUCUCCAUCACAAGUGUUUGCCAUGUUGACUUUGUCACAUCUGAUACUACAAUUGGACAGUUGAGAAGUGAGAGCACGGCAAUUGACACAAACAUGAGGUAUAGUACCAAGAAAGAAGAAUCAAGGACAAGUGACAUAAACAUAGAUAUAGUACCAAGAAAGAGAAAUCAAGGGAAAUUGACACAAACAUAUGCAUACCAACAAAGAAAAAUCAACAAUAAUUGACGCAGACACGGGUAUAGUACCGAGAGAAAAAUCAACAUAUAGCAAUAAACAUAAGAGUUUUAUGAGCAAUUGAAAUGAAAUGUUUCCUCUAAAAAAAAUGAAAUGUAGUCUACAGCAUGAAGGUUGUAGAAGAGCAUAAACUUUUGAAAGAAAGUACUAUUGGCCAUAGUGUGUAUAAUGAUCAGGGAGAGGGAAAUACCAUACAAGCGCUGUUGUAUACAAGAAACAGUUCGCACUCUCAAAAAAAAGAAUACAGUUCAAUAUGCCAGAAUAGUGAUUUUUUUCCCGUAUUUAUGCCUCUUUAAAAUGGCACCGAAAUAAUUUUCUCAUUUUUAUUUUUGUAAUACUAUACAUUAAUAAUGCAGUUUGGGUAGCCCUUUAUGCUGUCCAUAACUACAAUUCUAGGCAAAGCAUGUAUAAUGAUUUAGGCAUGCCAGCUUUUCAUUCUUAGCUGACAAUACUUCAAAUGUUAUGAAAAAUAAAGGAGUCUAGUUUUAAUGUGUUUGCAAAUAAGCGCUGAAGUUUAAGGAAAUUAUAUUGUAAAAAAAAAAGCCCCGAGCACAUAUUCUUCAGUUUAAUGAAUUGACAAACAUGGUAAACCAAAUAUUAGAACUUAAGGUAAUGGAUGUUCAAAAUGAAAAUGCUCUAAGUCUGGAAAAUCUACAAACAUCAUAACCAUUGCAAAAAGGGAACCAAAUAUGAUGUAUCUGAACAGCUAGAAUACGCCUCUCUUUGUGCAAAAGUGAACUUUAUCAUGCUUAUUUUAAAACUAUUUAGUAAUCAACUCCCUGAGAUGUUAUUCAUGGCUAAGCAAUAAGUAUUGCUGCUGCUUUAAUCUUUGCAAAUUUCUAUGUAAUAAACACCUUUUAUGUUAAACCUUAACAGAAUUGUGGGAAAAAAAAGUCCCACUAAAGGGAGUGAUAGUAAUCAUCUCACGGCUUAUUAAUACAUCCUCUUAAAAUUAAAGGGAGUAGUGUUUCACACGCUGCCAUAACAAAAGGUGACAAGAUAACAAGGGGUGCAUGAACCACGUGUAUGAUACAUGCAUAAAUCAAUAAACUUAACAACUAUGGAACAAUUUAUGAAUUGUAGCAGCUCAACUUUAUCAGUUAUAUGCUUCCAUAUUUGGAUUGCAGCGCCCCUCACAAAUAGAAUAGGGCAUGCGGCAAUAAUAGAUAUUGCAAUAUAUACUAUAAAGCAGAUUGCCAUGCACAUGCCUAAAUCUCUGGGUGCACCAAACAGGAUGUUGCUUGCUCAGCAAUAAAGCGUCCACCGACAUGAAGGUUGCUGCCUCUAGCACAACACAGGCACUACAUACGCAUGUGCUUGAUCUUCCUGGGGAACACAACUACAAAUCUAUGCUUGAAUAAAAUGCUCGAUUUGCUGUCUCUAUCUUAGGCAUGCACCAUGAUGAUGCAUGCAUGCAUGAAGGCAGCCAUUGACAUAGACAUAAAAGCGCAGACGUCAGAUGCUGCCGCGCCGAGUUGCUAGCAAAAUCCAUAACAUUUAUACAUCCAGAAUGCUGCAUGCUUCUGUUCUAAUCUUCGAUGCCCACCCCCCACCCCUCUAAUUCCUCCGAACAGUUGCCUACAUUGAGGAGACCGUGCAGUCUAAGAGAGGCAAAAUCCUAUUGGCCAAUUCAUGGAACCAAAUGAAAAUCGAUAUGUGAUCACACUACAAACAGGAUCUCAUUUCUACGCGCUGAGGAACCCACACGCGCGCGCGCGUCACUCGGAUCACUAGCUCGCCACCUAAUUCCAUAACAGAUCGAAACACGAACAGUAACGAAAAGGGUGAGCAGCCGAGCUCGCGCGUGGAUACCUUCGAUGGUGGUGUCCUGACCCUGGACGGCGCGUAAUACGGACGCGCCGCGGCCGGCGCACCGUCGGCUCCCGGAGAGGCCGGUAAUCGCGCGGAGCGGCGAGGAUCUGAAGGUGCUGCUGGUGCUGGAGUAGGAGGAGCACGGGAUCGCGCAGGCGCGGCGCGCGCGGUAGGCGGUCGCGGAGGCGCGGGUGGGUGGAGGGGCAGCGAUGGGGACGGAGACGGCGAGGCCGGCGGCCAUGGCGGCGAUCCGCGACGCCGACGGGUGGGGAGAGUUCGAGAAGGAAGGGGAAGGUGGGGGCGCGUUUGUUGUGGUGCGAUGCGGAGAGGGAGACCGGCGGGGAAUGGGAUGUGGAGAAAGAGAGGGGCAAGUGGGGCAGUUCCGAUCCAGUUCGCGUGUGGUGUGGUGACGCCGCGCGCCUCGGCUGGGCCCGGAUGAUGGCGAUGGACGGUGCGUGCACGUGGCUGUGUCUUUGCUAUGCAGUUUGGCAGGACUGAACGCCUGAAAUGGCAAAGUUUUUCGUUCGUAAACAAUGAAACCUUCGCAUCCCAUUGCCGGCGACGGCGAGGCGGCGAAGCGAUUAGCCGGCGCUGUGCGGCGGAUGGCGCGGCACUGGAGCUGAAAUGGCUUGUCAGUGAUACCGGCACGGCGGACGCGGAUCGCCGAGAACGCACGCGUUGGUGGAGGGGCUGGGGCCGCUGGGCAGGCGGCCUUCCGUGAUCCGGCCAUCCGUCAACGGACCAGUGCUGCCCAUCCGGCCAUCCGUGAUCCGGCGGACUGGUGGAAGGGCGAGAAGGCGGAAAAAGGAAACACGCAUCUUGGGUGAUCGGGGAUCUUUCCUGGAUCGCACAAGGACGGUAGGAAGAUCACGCCUUUCUUUGUGAAUGGAAGUAGUGCUUCGUUGGAAUUCAUAAACAGUGACGUUACGAUUCAGAAUCCUGCAAAUCUGCAAUUGUACUUGCAUCCAAUCUAACGAUGAAUCUCUUGCAGCAUCUGUCCGGACUGUAACUGUAUACAUGGCGCAUAUGUUCAGGAUGUGCAAACAGCAAAUCCAAGAACAGGGUGUUUGGUUUGAGUUGCUUAGACCCUGUUUGGUUUGAGUUGCUUAUUUUUAGCAAACAUGUCAAAAGCAAUCUCAUUCAAUGCAAUUUAGCAACUCAAACCGUUAGCUUAUGCAUAAGCAAAUCAAAUAAGCAACUUAUAAGCAAUGUAAACCAAACAGGCCCUAUUUUUAGCUCACAAAACAACAUUAAUGGAUGCAGAAAUUUGGGCAGUACAAAUCCCUGCGACAUCAAGUGAAGCAAAUUAAAAGACUUUGAAAUACAUGAGCACAAGUCUAUACUGUACAUGCUGCAACAGAGCCCCCCAGCGCCCCACCAUCGAUCCAUCGCGACCCGCCGCCGCAGUCAUCGGCUCAUCGCGGGCACGACAGCACCGGAGGCCACAGCUCGUCCAAGCACGCCUCAAGCCUCUAGACCAAAGCAGCUCGCCGGAUCGGCGAGGCACGCGCGGCGCGUAACUCGACUCGGAUGAAGGGAAUCGUGCGCUGUCCUUGGCACCGGCCGCUGGGGCAGAGGAUUGGGAUAGCCCGUGCUAGGGUUUGAAGAGGGGGAGGGCAUGGAUGGAUUGGGCCUGGUCCUUGCACGGGACGGAAUGCGGGGUGGCCAUCCGCGGCGGCGAUCGCCGAGAAGACAGAAGAAUGAAAGGUGCCGAUGUGAAAUAGGGGUAUAUCUGUAAAUAGUUAAGGGGUGGAAUGCAAAAUAAUGGAUCGCGAUUAAUAAUCGCGAUUAAUAAUCGCGAUCCAAAUUAGUGGAUUUUAUGUAAAUUAUCAGAUCGCGAUUAAGAGUCGCGAUGCAAGUGGGUUUUAGAAGUCGCGAUCCAAAUUAAGAAAUUUUGUGUAUCACGACGGUUAUUAGUUGCGAUCCAAAUGAGGGGGUUGGUUUGUAAAAUAUAGGGGUUCCUUUGCAGAAUAUUCAGACCGGCCGACGAGCCGGCGCUGCCACCGGCGGGUGCCGUGAUGCAUCCCGCGCCGCCGCCCGCCGCCCCAUAAACGGAGCGCAAGCAGCCGCGGCUCCGGCUCUGGUGCUGUAGGACACGCGCGCGCCGCUUCCUCCGGCACCAAACCGCCGUUUUCAACUGGAGGUGCCACCCCCGCCUGGAUGCCGACCAUGGGCAAGAGCAAGACGAAGACAAGCAGCAGCCACGGGAAUUAGGAAGAACAUGCAUGUUCCUGUGCCUCUUGCAAAUCAAGAGGCCUUGAUUAAGCGCAUCAGACAGGGGCAGAGCUCCGGAGGACAUAGACAGUUCUGAAGAAACCCCUGCUGCGCGCGCCUCAUACGGGGGCGGAGGCGCGGAGCACAGUUUCUCUUUCUCCACUUUUCAUCCCUUCCUCGAGCGUCAGUCGAUGGGAGAAAAGAUAGAUCCUGGAAUCUUUACACUAGCUUUCCAGGGAUUGAUGGUCUGAUCGUCCAGUGGAAAUGGGUAGGUUCAGGAAGGAAAUCAACAAAAAUGCAGCUUGUGCUUGUCUGAGCCUUUCAGCAUUCAGAUUUCUCAGCAAGUCAGGUAACACAAGAUAACUCAUCAUCGUCACAUUACAAACUACUCCUAGACAUUAUUAUGCACCUAUACAUACACUAUAUCUAGAUGCAUAAUAAUAUCUAUGAAAUAAAAAAGCUAAAAUGACCUACAAUAAAAAAGCUAAAAUGACCUACAGAGCGAGUACUCCACAAGCUAAUUAGCGAAGCUGUGUCCUGUUCUUCUGGCUUGCGCAUUUUUGUUUCAAUUUACAAACUACUCCAUGGAGGCACUUCAAACUGAAGACAGUAACCUUUUUGUAUAUUCGAACGUUAGCAUUGGUAGUGCUAGUCGAACAAGAACCAAUUAGCGACACUUCAAAACUCAAAACAAUGUUUAAUCACAAACAAUGCUAUUACUACUCAGAAUGGUGUGAUGAACGUAUUUCUGGCCGUUUAUAGACUUCAAUGGCUGCAACUGCAGUUGCAUCCAAUCCAAUGAUGAAUCUUUACAGCAUGUUUACUGUACUUGCAUCCAGAUCAAUGGUGAAUCUUUACAGCAUGUUUCUUUACAUACAAGUUUCAUCAGAUUAUUCCAAAUUUGAACUGCAGCGAUGCUAACGUCUGUACAUCUGUCAUGUUUCGAUGAGCAAUUCGAACUCUUCAUCACCCACCAUCAGAACGUGGGCACCCAAUAGCAGCACUCUUUUGCCUUCAGGAUUGGCAGCGCUCAUAUGCUUGCAAGGGUCGACGGUAAUCUCCACGUUGGUUGCGCUGCCAGAAGCCGUGUGGACACGCUCAAAACCAACCAAUUGUUUUAUUGGAAAGCCUGGAACGCUUGAUUUUGAUCUUGAAAACAGUAGAACAGCAUGGCUCCCAUCCAUGUCACCAUGAUUUGAAACCGCAACGCGAACAGAGAAUGUUAGAGCUUCACAUGAAGCAAUGUCUUCGGCUUUCACAAAGUCUAGCCCAUCCCUCCUUGUGUAUGCAGGCUUCCUACUGAUAAUGUCCGGAACUAAUGAAUAUGACACGCUGAUCUUCUUUGGAGCUGACAAGAUGCUAUAAGAAUAUUUGGAGUAACUUAAGCCAUAUCCAAAACCAUACACUACAUCUCCAGUGUAAAAUCGAUAUGUUCUUCCUGGGUAACCACGUGAAGGAUCAGCUCUCAUAUUCAUAUCAGUCAUCGGAAUAGCAGUGAAGGAUUCUGGGUACCAAGUCAUAGCCAGCUUUCCUCCUGCCAUUACAGCACACCAGAUUAGUCCAACAGCCACCACAACUAUUUCAUUGCAAUACAUGCAAGUGCUGUUUUCUUUCAAGAAGUGUAAGUUGUUUACCCACCUGGGUUGUACUCCCCAAAAAGAAUUUCUGGAAGGACUUGUCCACCAACCUCGCCAGGAUAUCCGAGCCAAAGAAUGCUUGCAAUUCGUGGAUCAUGCUUUGCAAAAGAAACAUCAACAGGACCACCACCCAAGAGAACCAACACAAGGGGCUUCUUCGUUACACUAGCAACGGCAUGUAUGAGGUCCAUCUGCUUGCCUGGAAGGAGAAGGCUCACUCUAUCGAAGUCUUCACGCUCUUCUGUCAGGUUCAACCCAGCAACUACAACAAUGAUAUCGGCUCUUUUAGCUGCUUCAAUGGCUUCGCCAAAUAAAUCUGUUGAGUUACAGGAAACAUCCUUGCAUCCAGCAGCAAAGGUUGUUUGUGUAACAUAGGCCUGAAUGCCCUUAAGGAAGGUUGUAGGGUUGCAGGGAACACCUGAUUAAAGUGAAUCCAACGUUAAAAAUGUAUUCAAAGAUAGUAAGUUAGCAAAAUGUUUAAUUGAGCCAGUGGUUUGGAACCUGUAUAGUCUCCACCCAUUGCAUACACAUCAUUUACAGAUGGUCCAAUGAUAGCAACAUGUCUAACUUCGCUUCUCUUUAGAGGCAAGAAACUAUUAUAGUUCUUCAAAAGGACAGCACCCUGCCUUACAGCUUCAGCUGCAAGCUCUCUAUGCUCUUUCGUGCACACAUUAUUGGGCCCUAAUUGGUUGCCGCUGGGCUUAUCGAAUAUUCCAAGACGCAGUUGAACAGAGAAUAGAUUAAAAAGGGCACGGUUGAUAUCUUGUUCUUGAAUCUUCCCCUUUUCAAUUGCUGACUUUGUAUGCCGAACUAGGAAAGAACCACAGUUGAGAUCCAUUCCUUCAAAAAAGAGAGCAAUCCUAACACCUCAGCAAAGGACAAGUAAAUAGAUUGAAUAAAUAAAUGGUCAGAUGUUCUAUGGAAUCUAUUUUGACUAGAUAUUGAAAACUCCAAACAAUAAUGUUGUCAAAGAACCAAUCGAAGCAGAAAUUAUCGUUCUAAUAUUGGGGGUUACCGUACAUGGUUUACAUUAGUUGGACUUGGCAACCGUUUUGACUAUAAACCCCUAGUAUCUACUUUUAAAAUGCUAGAGUUGACCAAGAAAUCAAACUUCUAGUCUAUAAAGACAGAAAGACAACCAAAAUCACAUAUGUGGAAAAAAAAAAUUUGAGAAGUAAAAUGCACAUGUGUUUCUCAGUAAAAGAGAGAAGGUUUAAGGCUACUAACCUGCCUUAAGAACAAUUGCUACUGAAUCCUCAUCUGAAUUAGUGUAUGUCUGGUUUUCAUGAAUAAUUGCCACAGCAUCACAGUCAGAUGUAAUAUACCUUCAAAGAAUAAAAUGAACACACAUAAUUACAUAAACAAUAAUGAAAAUGCUGGGGGUCUGGGGUUGAUAUAAUGAAAUUUCUUGUCACUUCUGACAUAUUCAAUGGUCCAAGGCUCAAGACAGACAAAUUCAGAGUUAGAGCAAGCUGCGUACCCCUGGAAGCCCCAUUCAUCCCUGGUCUUCUGCAGAAGAUCUUUGCGAGCACAGAUUGGCACCCCAUUAACCUGGUUAUAUGAACACAUCAAGCAGCUGGCGCGAGCCUCCUGGAUGCAGGUCUUGAAAGGAGGCUGGUAUGUGUCCUCCAAAUCUUGUGCAUUUACCUGCCAUUAGUGGAUUACAAAUCAAAACAUUUCUUUUGAUCUCGUUGUAAUCGCAAUUUGCUAUAGAAGUUCACAAGAAAUAUGGUAAGUUCAAGCCUGUAAUUCGACUUUUCAGCUGACAUAUUGGUAAUCAAACCACAUGAAUACAGAUAUUUUAAUUGGAAAUUAAAUUCUCAACCCAGUUUAUCCAGAAAAUCUCAACCUACUCCCUGGAGCGAAACAUGCCAUUAUGUCAGUGUUUCUCUAUGCGUCGACUAAUAGUAUAAUACUCCUAGAAGACUGUCUGUUGGCUAUCCACGAAACUUCUAUACUAUAUCUAUGUAAGAUUAUAUAAGCUGAGAGAAAUGAUAAGGCGUGAACGUCCUCACCUUGGCAUUGAAGGUGUACCUGGAGAAGCCCUCCCAUUUCUCCAUGUCAUACGCCGUAUAGUGCUUGCAGCAUGCCGAGAGCCUAAUCCUGCCUUCGUCCCCGUACUCCCCCUGGAACCCCUUGACGUACUCGAGGGAGUACGCGGCGGCGACGGCGGGGUCCUCCCCGGACGUCUCCUGGCCGCGACCCCACCGCGGGUCGCGGAAGAUGUUGAUGUUGGGCGCCCAGUAGGUGAGCCCCGCCUGGCCGGCGCCGUGCAUCCCGAGGGCCUCCGUGGCGACGGCCCCGGCCACGGCGCGCCACAGCGAGCGGUUGAAGGCGGCGGUGGUGAGGAUGACCUGCGGGAAGGCGGUGGCGGCGCGGACGGGGCCCGAGGAGAAGUUGACCCCGGGCCCGUUGUCGGCGAGCCCGUGGAGGGACUCGGACCACCACUGGUAGGGCGGGACGCCCAGGCGCGGGACCCCGGCCGCCGUGUUGGACAGCUGCGCGAUCUUCUCGUCCAGGGUGAGCAGCGAGACGAGCGCCCGCGCGCGCGCCGGGAUGGAGAGCGAGGCGUCGCAGAACGGGUAGGCGCUCGCCGAGUACGGCGACGCGCACGGGCGCGCGUUCGGCGCCGCCACCGCCGUCCCCGGCGCGGCGCCGGCGAGGACGAGGAGGCAGAGGAGGGCGAAAAGCAUGGCGGGGUCUAGCCGUUAGGUGGGAUGAUUCGAUUCGAUCGAAGAAUUUGGCGUCUGCGCCGAGUGGCUUGCGGUUUUUAUUAAGCGACCAUCACUGAGCUGCUGUGUUGUCACGGGACGGUGCCGAGACUGGGACCGGGAAACGGGGUCUGCCUCUGGCAUGUGGGGCUGAAGCUGCCCACUGCCGCCGCCCAGUGUAUGACUAGGUAGGAUCAGACGAUCAGUUGCUUGCUAGCUCGGCCUUUGCUUGCCAUGCGUAAUUCAUUUUUGGAUAAGCAUGGCCAAGUCAUGCUCUGGAUUAUCAAAGGAAAUCAGGAAUCGUGUUUGGACCCGCAACGAGAUAUUCCUUCUUCAGCGGCUUAUGCGGUGCGGUGCGGUGCUCUGCUCAUCGUCGUUGUUUGCUAUUGCUCGUGAAGUCGUGAAGUUGCUGUGCUGACGAGUUGCCUAGCUGCCGGCCACUGUCCGUGUCCUGUUCUUGGCUCAAGCUCUGGCUCUCUAGUUCGAGGGGAGGAGGAGAAAUUAUGGUCGGGUCGGCGACCGAUCGCGGUUGUUAGUUGCUAUUGCAUUCACUCACAGUGGUGCCAAACCCUUCAUGCCCCCAUACAGCCGUACGAGGACAGAAGCACGCAUCCUGUUUUCUGCGAUGUUUUCUUCCUUUCUCACAAAGUCUUUGAUCGUAUGACGUAUGGGCCGAAUGACUGCGCACUCGAUGAAGCUGACCCGGCGGCCCUCUCCACAUACUACAUUUUGUUUUAGGUUUCUGUGUGCUGCGGUUUUGAAAAAGCUUGACCCAUCGUAUCAUUAUGCAGUUCCUUCCUCCGUCCAUGAGCGAUCCAAAAAAAAAAUCAAAAUACGAUAUUCAUACACGCGAAUGCUGCAGUCCCCGUCACCAAAACGCUCGAGCAGGCACUUCCACCUUGGAGAUAAGUUAUAUAAUAUCCAUCCCGUUCGGUGUAGGACAAUCGGAUACGAACCGAAUAUCAGGGCACCAGGAAAUGGGACGCCCCAACGACAAGCGUCAGAGCGCCCCGUGACUGCACAAGCACAAUAACACCCUGCCCUCAAAAAAAAAAAAGCACAAUAACACCCGCUGGAGCCGGGCAUCCCAUGCGUGAUGCGUCCACCAGAUGAUCUUGGGGUUGUUUGGAUACAAGAUGCUAAAUUUUAACAGGGUCACAUCGGAUGUUCGGAUGCUAAUUAGAAGAAUUAAACAUAAGCUAAUUACAAAAUUAAUUGCACAGAUGGAGUCUAAUUCGCGAGAUGAAUCUAUUAAAGCUAAUUAAUCCAUCAUUAGCAAAUAUUUAUUGUAGCACCACAUUAUCAAAUCAUAGACUAAUUAGGCUUAGUAGAUUCGUCUCGCGAAUUAGACUCCAUCUGUGCAAUUAGUUUUAUAAUUAGACUAUAUUUAAUACUCCUAAUUAUAUCUAAACAUCCGAUGUGACAGGUGCUAAAGUUUAGCGGGACGUAUCAAAUAGCCCCUUAGCACGAAUCAAGAGCUAGUCAUACGAAUAGGCCACUAUGGUGUAUUCCUACAGUAAUAGCACCGGACAAAAAUGCCCUUUCGAUUUUUGAAGCUUCGACAGCGCCAUGCUGCCAAUGCAAUCAGCUUCAUGUAGCUAAUGCUACACAGUUGCUCAUUCACUCUGCAGACACGUGAGGCAGAGCUCGACAGCUCGUGCACUGUAUGGGAAUGUGCGGGAGAAACAAAUGUAAAGAAAACACCCCUAUCAUUUUCCCCUCGUAGUCUUCUUCUUCGUAGCUCCACAUCAUUUUCUCCUCCCAAUAGUUGAGGGCGCGUUUGGGAGGGCACUGGCCGGCUCCGACUCUUCCUGACACGAGCACUGUAGCGUCACAGAAGCUGGAACCGGAGAAGCCACAAUUUGUGGCUCCAUCUGCUCCUCCUUGAUCUGUGAGAAGGAGGGAGAUGAGAGAGAAAAGAAGCUCCCAUGAACAGUUGCGCUACAGGAUGUGAACAAUUGCGCUACAAAUGUCAGAUGGAGCCGGAGCUGCAAAGAGCUCCACCAACCUGGCCCUUAACAAGUUCCGAUGGAAAGCAUAAGAUCAUGCGCAAAAAUAAGCUUCAGCUAUGGAUGGCCAGUGGCAGAGCUGGCGAUUUUCCACACCUAGGACCACUUCUCUAAACACUUAAACCACCUAAAUUAACCCACGUAUCCAACAAUAGUGAAGCAUGAAAUACAUGAUUUAGAGAGUACGUCUCAAUUUCAUAUCUAAUUAUACAACAAAAUUAAUAAAAAAACCCUGAAGAAGUACAAAAGAAAUACCUAAGUAGUGUCGAUUUGGUUCAUCCCUGCCUAUCAUAUCUUCACCAACAUUGCUAAAUACUAACUCUUGUGUUCUACUGUUUCCGGUUCCAAUUGUAUUGACUGAGCUUGAACAAAAUGUUGUAUUGUUUCAAUCAUAAGCUUUAUGAGCCGGAGGAUAAAAUGAUUUCCAUGUCCUGCACCUCUUUAGGAUGGCUAUCCUGCACGACGAUGGCUUGCGAGGAGCUCUGCGACAUAUACGUAGGUAGUAGAGUACAUCCAUGAUCCUUGACCUCGCAAUGGCUGUAAACCUUUCGUGUUUUAAUCGAUUUGGUUCUCUUUGCCAUGCUUCUAAUUCGUGGCACCAGAAUGCUUCUCUCCCCUCUCCUUGGCUCGCAAAAAAAAAAAUUCCUCCAUUCCCCAGAUUUCUAAUCGAUUGGAGCAUUCCUCCAUUCUGAACACUGCCUGAUGUCAGAAAAAAAAUAUAGAGGAAUGAUCAAUAGUUCCUUCUAAAAUCAAUGAAAAAACUCCAAUCCAAAUCCUGUACCUCACGGGCACCGUGCUGCUGCCGCCCGCGGCCCCGGGGGCCAGCAGCCUCAGCGUGUACCUCACCGGCGGCCAGGGACAGGUCAUCGCCGCUGGGCCCGUGGUUCUCAUGGCCGCCGUCAGACGCUCGCUGGAGGGAGAGUCACCGCAGCGAAGCCACAGAGCCCCAAGGCGAAGCAGAACCAGCGGGAGCACAACCACAACAACAGGUGGCGUCGCAGUCAUCAGGGGUGACCGGAGGGGAUGCCGGUGGCGGCGGCAUUGGCCAUGGCAUGUACGGGGCGCGUCGAAGUCCCACCAGGCCACCACUAUCUCAGCUCCCAAAACCGUUGGGCUUGGGCCUAGCCGCCACGGCCGAACCCGCCCGACGCGGCGGCGCGUCGAAAUUACCAACCAAACAUCCGGGAAAAACUCCGAAACCCAACCAAAAACCCGUAAAACCACGGGGAAACCUCACACGUCUUCCUCCGUCCAGCCUGUCUCCGGACCCCGCUCCUUAACGCCGCAUCAUCCCCUCCCAAUCUCGUCUUCCCCCAACCCGUACCCGUCAAAAAUUCCCUCCGCUCGAUUCUCAGGGAGGGGGAGCGAGACGGAAGGACGCUCCGGGGCCGCAAUGCGCGUCCUCGCCGCGGUCCUCCUCGCCGCGGCGUGUGCGGCGGCGGCGGCGGCGGCGGUGGCUUCCGGGGGCGGCGGCGGGGAGCUGCCGGAGUUCCGGGAGGCGCCGGCGUUCCGCAACGGCGCGGCCUGCGCGGGCGCGCCGACGAUCCACAUCGCGAUGACGCUGGACGCCACCUACCUGCGUGGCUCCCUCGCCGGCGUCCUCUCCGUGCUCCGCCACGCCGCCUGCCCGGAGUCCAUCGCCUUCCACUUCGUCGCAUCCUCGGCGUCCCCGGCGCGGCGCCUCGCUUCGCUCCGCCGCGCGCUGGCGGCCGCCUUCCCCACGCUCCCCGCCACCGUGCACCGCUUCGACGCCCGACUCGUCCGGGGCAAGAUCUCCUCCUCCGUCCGCCGCGCGCUCGACCAGCCCCUCAACUACGCCCGCAUCUACCUCGCCGACCUCCUCCCGCGCUCCGUCUCCCGCGUCCUCUACCUCGACUCCGACCUCCUCGUCGUCGACGACGUCGCCCGCCUCUGGGCCACCGACCUCGGCCCCGACGCCGCCCUCGCCGCGCCCGAGUACUGCCACGCCAACUUCACCUCCUACUUCACCGACGCGUUCUGGCGACACCCCGAGUACGCCGCCGUCUUCGCCAACCGGACGCGCGUCCCCUGCUACUUCAACACCGGGGUCAUGGUCAUCGACCUGGACCGGUGGCGCGCCGGCGGGUACACCGGGAAGCUGGAGUACUGGAUGGAGGUGCAGAAGCAGGAGGCCAGGAUAUACGAGCUGGGCUCCCUCCCGCCGUUCCUCCUGGUGUUCGCCGGCGAGGUGAAGGCCGUGGAGCACCGGUGGAACCAGCACGGGCUCGGCGGCGACAACGUGGCGGGGCAGUGCCGGGAGCUGCACCCGGGCCCGGUCAGCCUGCUGCACUGGAGCGGGAAGGGGAAGCCGUGGCUGCGCCUGGACGCCGGCCGGCCGUGCCCGCUCGACGCGCUCUGGGCGCCCUACGACCUCCUCCGCCGCCGCGGCGCCCGCGACGACCUCCUCGCCGCCGUCGCCUGAGCAAUGCUGGCCCCACAUCGCUGGAGCGAUCGAUUUGCUCGCGUCCGAUGGGAUCAUAUUCCACGGCGCUUGGCUGCUCGCUUCGCCGCCGUCUGGGUGUCGGCGUUGGUGUACUGAGUCACUGACACGUUGACCCACUCGCCACUCCGCGUGGGUCCCUUCAGUGUCCAUGCUGUAAGCCGUAAUGGCGUUGGUUGGAGUAGCCCCAUCGGUACUGCCAUUCAUCGGGCCCACACGUUGGUGGCGGAUGGGGAUUUUGGGGGUGGGGGGCCGAGGUGAAAUGCAGCCAUGGGUUGUGUACAGUACAGCUGUUAUUUUGGCCUGUUGGGGCAAUAUUCUUUAUUAUUUGUUCUUAAGUUCUUGGAUGUACUCCAUAUAAUAGCAAUAUACUGCAGGCACAGUUUUAGCACCACUGGAAUAAAAUUUGGGAAUGUUUGAAUUAGGGUUUCGUUUAAGUCCAGAGGUUAGGGCUCGGGAGGAGCGAUAAAGCUUGGUGUAACUUUAUUAGUUUCUGUACGAAUGCAACGCUGCCAGUUUUAAAUUCGUUGAGCACAGUGCAGAGCUAGAUCAGAUGUGAGAUGUCGUUUUGCUCUGAAAAAGAAAAGAAAGAAAGGCAGAAAGAAAAGGUUAAUUGGAUGUCGUCUCGUGGCACAAAUCUCAAUCCUGUGUCUCCAAAUUUCAGGAAUCUGAUCUGACUUUCCCGCUUUUGUUUAAAGCCUGAUCCGCGACGAUUUCAGUGGAGCUUGGUGCCAUGUGAUUCGAACGAGCGCUUGCCAAGUGCUCGAGUGGAUCUUUGUAAAAAGUUGGGAAAUUCUUUGCUUCUCCCGUGCGCGACUGCGAGCGAGCGAGAGGGAGGGAGCAGAGAGGGAAGGGGGAAAAAAAAAGGUUCAGUUGCUUUCAGCCUUUUGUCCUCGGUUACUAUCAGGUUGCUGGCGAGGGGACGAUCACUCGAUUGCGGUAGCGUGCGAGCGUGAUGUUGUCGACGGAAAUGCUGCUUUGCGCAGGAUUACUGCAGCUGUGACAAGCAGCCAAAGGUGCUUGAAAAAGUUAAUCUGAUGGUCAUGACAUGACCCCUUUUUUUCACCCUCUACUAGGAUAGACAAACGACUGCACUGCACUGCACUACACUGCACUGCACAUGUACGUUCGUGCUGCCACUGAUUCUUGAUUAUGCUUGUAGAGUUCUUACGAACGGUUUAAUGUACGAGGCAUCAAAAAUUGACAUUUGAGCGCCUUUCUGAUAAGAAAAGGUAUCUGCUGUACGCCUGUACCGGUACUUCAUUGGAGCAAACUCGUAGAGCUACGAAGAUUGCUCCUAGACUGACUACCACUUUCUCCUAGCAAACUCGUAGAACUUGCCACGGAGUUACGGAUUACCAAUGCUGAUCUUGGUCGCUAUUGCUGGCCGGGGGUACAUGACCGAUCGAUCCAAGACCUUCCCGCGCCGUUUCAGAGGAUGCGACUCUCUACUGCUAGCUGCCUAGCUGCUAAACUACUGUUUGAAACUUGAAAAGAGAAAAAAAAAA